rnacentral:rRNA from 1 species
CGUGCUUAACACAUGCAAGUCGAACGAUGAACUGGUGCUUGCACUGGGGAUUAGUGGCGAACGGGUGAGUAACACGUGAGUAACCUGCCCUUAACUCUGGGAUAAGCCUUGGAAACGAGGUCUAAUACUGGAUAUUGACAUUUCCUCGCAUGGGGUUUUGUUGAAAGAUUUAUUGGUUUUGGAUGGACUCGCGGCCUAUCAGCUUGUUGGUGAGGUAAUGGCUCACCAAGGCGACGACGGGUAGCCGGCCUGAGAGGGUGACCGGCCACACUGGGACUGAGACACGGCCCAGACUCCUACGGGAGGCAGCAGUGGGGAAUAUUGCACAAUGGGCGAAAGCCUGAUGCAGCGACGCCGCGUGAGGGAUGACGGCCUUCGGGUUGUAAACCUCUUUCAGUAGGGAACAAGGCCAGCAUUUUUGUUGGUUGAGGGUACUUGCAGAAGAAGCGCCGGCUAACUACGUGCCAGCAGCCGCGGUAAUACGUAGGGCGCAAGCGUUAUCCGGAAUUAUUGGGCGUAAAGAGCUCGUAGGCGGUUUGUCGCGUCUGCCGUGAAAGUCCGGGGCUCAACCCCGGAUCUGCGGUGGGUACGGGCAGACUAGAGUGAUGUAGGGGAGACUGGAAUUCCUGGUGUAGCGGUGAAAUGCGCAGAUAUCAGGAGGAACACCGAUGGCGAAGGCAGGUCUCUGGGCAUUAACUGACGCUGAGGAGCGAAAGCAUGGGGAGCGAACAGGAUUAGAUACCCUGGUAGUCCAUGCCGUAAACGUUGGGCACUAGGUGUG